rnacentral:rRNA from 1 species
UACGUAGGGGGCAAGCGUUGUCCGGAUUUAUUGGGCGUAAAGAGCGUGUAGGCGGCCACACAGGUCAGCUGUGAAAACUCGAGGCUCAACCUCGAGACGUCGGUUGAAACCGUAUGGCUAGAGUCCGGAAGAGGAGAGUGGAAUUCCCGGUGUAGCGGUGAAAUGCGCAGAUAUCGGGAAGAACACCAACGGCGAAGGCAGCUCGCUAGGACGGUACUGACGCUGAG